CCGCACACACAGUUUGUGAAGUUUGCCGAGCGAGAGGAAGGGAACACCCCCUACCACAGACAGUACGACUUCCUCAUCCACCGCUUUGCCUCUCUUAGCCUCACCAAGAAUGUGGACAACGCCGACAAUAUCACGAGACGCAGAUGGCUGGGUUGCAAGGGCUGAGGGGAGUGAUAAAGAAGAUUGUUUGGCAAGACAACCUCCAGAUGAACAUUUGGGACCUAGAUCACAUGAACAAGAUAGUGCCGCCCUUCCUCUUCAAUAUGCACAGUCAGUGUCGUCCAGUCAAGAGAGUCUGGUGAGAUCCAGCCUGUUGUGGAGGAGGGGGACAGUCUGGGAGGGUACUCUCAGGAUAGUCUCACUGAGCUCAUCACUUUUGCCGGACUCUCUCACAUCGACAGUGUCCUCAAGCCAAUACUGCAGUAAGUCAAGUAGACAUGUGUAUCCCCCACGAAGACAGCGGGUAAUUAUAGCAGGUAAUUUUCGUGGGCAAGCUGACCUCCACGAAAUUUUAACGUAGGCGUGGCUUACCGGAAUGCAGUGCAGGCAACGAGACUAAACAAAUUUUUACUCACAAAAACCACCGUUUUCCGAGUUGAACGAAUUUUUUACUCCACGAAAACUACCCGCUAUACGAGACAGGAUCGGUACAAGGCCGUCCAGUCGCUGGUGGACCACCUGGAUGCCAAGAUGAAGGAGUCCUGGGAGACCAAACAAGGGAUCCUCAGCACACUCUCUAAGUGUGUUGCCGUGGCAGCAGACAGCUCUCUAGGUGAGUCUCCAUGGUAGAGUACUUGUAUGGUUGCAACACUACUUUUGGGCCAUUUUCUAAAGAAGGCUAUACGCAUUUAUUCUUCAUACGUAGAUGCUUUCAUAGCUGUUAUUAAAGUUUGUACAUGACAUUGUAUGUUUUGACACUACGUACCGUCAGGAGCACAUUACAGAAGGAGCGUCUAACUGUGCAUGGGUUCGGAAAUCGCAUCUCGUGUGCUUUCCUAAACGCCGCAUUGCCUUAUAAGAAAAGUGUGUAAGUACUGUGUACAUAAAGUACGGACCGCGGUCAGCCUGUGAAUAUCAUUAUAAAUGGAUUUUGUUUGUAAUUCAGCAGCAGGAGAGCUAGGUUGAUCCAGAAAGAGCUAAAAUGAAUAGCUAGAUCUUUGAUGGAUGUUGGUAUACAUCAUGGAAGAGGCUGUCAUCGGUAAGGUACAGAAAGUUCUAAAAUACGAGCAUAUCCAGUCACUUUGUACAGAGAAAGUUUGCUAGACUUAGACUAACACAUACUAGGCGUUUUGUUUUUGCAGUAGGGAGUCUUACUGGGAUUGUUAGAAGAGAGAGCUUACUACUAGGCCUAUAGCUAGCUAGCUAGCUGUAGCUUUUCACUUUUAUUGACCUAUGCUUGGUAAAAGUGCACCGUCAGCUCAAUUAGCACUCGCCCGCAGACCCACUUAGUGGUUUUGCAUAUAAGGUCAUGCUUUGCAAACUUCCACGAGAUGCGAUUUCCGAGGUCAGACGCUCCUUCUGUAAUGUGCUCCUGGUACCGUAUUACUAGAAUAUUUUGCUGGUGAAAAACCUUUUCGAAUGAGCCAAAUCAACAGAAAAUUUGACCCUUUGCGAUCUAACUAUUGUGUUCUGGCAAGGAUCGUGUGUAUUUACUAGUAAUAAUUUUUAGGUUUUGCGGAUAUUAUUGUUGCGAAUUGAUCAACCCUUCGCAAAAUUCGUAAAUGUUUGAUGCUCGCAAAACAUUCUAGUAAUACGGUAGUGUGGUUUAAUUCCACGCUUUAAUCUGCAUACAUGUAUUUACAUUACUUAGCUUGUGUCCACUCAUGCAGGUCCGUCUGUACUGGAUAUAUUCCGUACACUGGUCCGCCACCUCCGUAUCUCAAUAGAAACCGUUUCAGAAGGCCCCUCUGACCUCACGUCCUCUCUGACCUUUCAGCAAUCCAUCACUAUCACUGUGGGGGAGUUUGCAGGAGUCCUUCCCGACUAUCAUAAGCCAGAUAUACUGGGGCUCAUCAACUCUUAUGUACCCGUGGCCUCAGGGGGUCUUGAUAGCGGAGCCACCACUGGACUGUCUGUACAUCCUCUGGCACCU